AUACUCUGGUUUCUCUUCAGAUCGUAUAAAUCUUUCGCCUUUUACUAAAGAUUUCCGUGGAGAGGAACAUUUAUGAGUUUCGAUGAUGGUUUGCCAGUUGAAAUCUAUAAAUCU